UCUUAUGUUAACAAUGGUUUCUAUUGUAAAUGUAUUGUUAGUCACAUUUCAAAUUUGCAUUCGUUGUGACGAUUACAAUAGGUUUACAUUAGAUUUUAUUGUUACAUUAUUUUCUAUGGGCAUACAGUAGAUAAACAUUAGAUUUCAUUGUUACAAUACUUUCUAUAUGCCCCUUCAGUAGAUUCACUCGGAUUCACAUUAGAUUCCAUUGUUAUCUUUCAGUUUCACACCAAACCCGAUGGCACCCGAUGAGUGCCAUGGGAUUUGGUUGAUUUUGCGCAACACUCAUAUAUGUUUGUGUUAUGUAUUUUAAGCGUGUUUGUUUUGCUCGCACAAUCGAUUACGGAAGAAGAAAAAAUAAAAAAUGCUGGAGCCCAUUUGUUCGGUUCGGAAUUUUCGCGUUGUAGCCGUGCAAAUCACCUUUUCGGUUGUAUUUCACCGGACCGUGUAACCGUGUCACACCUAAAUCGUUUGCGGGUACGUACGGCUGGGAAUUGGAGCUGGAUUUCUUCAAGCGGAACCACUUCAUCCAGAGUUACCUUUCGCACCAGCCCAUCCUCGCGGCUCGGACAUCACGCUUGAGGCACUCCAGGUCACCUUGAUGCUGGCGGAAAGGAAUGAAUGAUCUACGCUGCUGGUCUUCAAGGAAUCCAAGCGUGGCAUCCGGGAACUGAUCGAGGGCUUCACUCCCAUCACCAAGUUCCGGUUACACCGGGUGUGGAUAAACUACUCGGCUGGAGAACUACCGCAGGAGUAAAGGCAAGUUCCUCCAUCAAGGGGCAAUGUACGAAAGCUCCUUCUAAACCCAGAUCCGGCGAUGGAUGGAGCGGGAUCCGGUGAUGUUGCCGCAGUGGCAUCUACAUUGCCACCUACAUUUUUUUUUUCGCUUAAUAAAGGUUCGUUCAAUUACUACCUAACGCUAAAUGGGAAGAGAAGGUCGUAGCGCUGUGUUAAACUACAUACUCAAAAUUUCUUCGCUUUAAUCUCAAAAUUUUCCAUACAAAAGUAGUUACGUGGGAGAGGGGGGUCUAAAACUAAAAUGUUUUGUCAAGUAAUAUUUGAAUGAACCCUAACAAUUAUAUAUCUUCUUUACACGUAUCAAUUAUUUUUGGAAUUACCUAAUCUGAUAAAGAGUUUUCAGAAGUUCUGUUGAAAUUCCUGAAAAAAAAUGUGCUAAAUUUCUACGGAAACAUAAGUGCCAUUUCUAGAGAAAGGCUUGACGAAAAGUCAUCAUUGAACGACGAAAGAUUUUGUUUAGGGACCAUGCUAAACAUAAUUUGGAAUUUAUAUUAAUAGGAAUUGUUCAUAAACUGCAACUGUAAAUAGGAUUUCUCCUGUAAAAUGUCCUUACAUAGUUAACUAAAAAUCGUAUUGUGCUUCUAAAUUCUUACAAGAACACUGCUAAUCUUUCAAGGUACCUAGUUUUAUUUAUGACAACCGCUUUUUAAAUUUUUACUUUAAGAAAUUUAAGAAUAAUCUUUUGCAUUUGGAUGCUUUGAGGGGUCUUCAAAUGUAGGUUCACUCUUUAAGCUUGGAGCGCUUGAAUACGUUUGUGUCAAAUUUAAUAGCUUUCUCAUGCGGCAACUAUCAAAUUUGACACAAUCGUAUGCUUGUUCUCCGUGCCGUAGUCCGUCGAGUGUCUUGUUACAAUAAUGGUUAAGCACGCUGUAAUGUUACUUUUGUACCUCAUCGCCCACUAAAUGCAACUACAUUAGUGGACUAAUAACACUUAGCGCGCUUCGGCACGGUUCCAUCAUGCAGCUUAUAGUGUUGCCACAUAUAAUGUUAGUCUGCUAAACCCAGUUAUCUGGCUGGUGGGGCAUGGGAGCCUAAGCUUCGACCAUUAAUGCAAUCAGACGUUAUUUGAACUAUGACAUGAGCGAUCCGAAUAUUUGAAGAACUUUCCAAACUAUAUAGAAGCUUGUGUAUGUCAACAUAUAACGAACUAAAUCUAUGCAAUAUUUUGCAUUUUAACGCUUCGAACGAUCUUCAAGUAUAGGUUCAAGUUGUAGUAUAUAGAGUAUUUUAAAUGCUACAAUACAAUAAUGGUUAAGCACGCUGUAAUGCUACUUUUGUACCUCAUCACCCACUAAAUGCAACUACAUUAGUGGUCUAAUAACACUUAGCGCGCUUCGGCACGGUUCCAUCAUGCCGCUUAUAGUGUUGCCACAUAUAAUGUUAGUCUGCUAAACCCAGUUAUCUGGCUGGUGGGGCAUGGGAGCCUAAGCUUCAACCAUCAAUGCAAUUAAACAUUACUCGAUUUACAACAUAAGUGAUCCAAAUAUUUGAUAAUUAAUCGAUCGAUCUGUGAUUUCGAAAUGUAGCUUAACAUAUACAAGAUUCUAGUCCAAAUGCAUUAUGAUAGUUCAGUUUCGUUUCAUUCAGGAUUUGUUCAAGCAGUUUAUAUUUUUUUGUAAAGUUUAACUUAGAAGUUAAAGUUAGAAUUUUCAGUUUCACAAUAGAAAACAAUUUCCAAACGAUUGGAUUUAACGUAAAAAUAAUGCAACACAGAAUGUUCUGUAUCACAAUAGAAAACAAUGCCAAAACAAUUAAAUCUAACGUGGAGCCAAUAAUACAGUCACUGCUCAAAGCAAUACGUUUACCGUACAUUUCACUGUUUAGAACAAUUAAAAAAAACAUAAGAAUCUUCUGUAUCACAAUAUAGAAAACAUUUCCCAAACGAUUGAAUCAAAUGUGGAACCUGAAAUAAAAUCACUAUUCCAAACAA